rnacentral:rRNA from 1 species
AGUGAACGCUAGUGGCGUGCUUAACACAUGCAAGUCGAACGGACGAUAUUUGUGCUUGCACAAAUAAAGUUAGUGGCAAACGGGUGAGUAAUACAUGAGAAUUUUCCUUGCAGUACGGAAUAACUAUUGGAAACAGUAGCUAAUACCGUAUAUUGCCGAGAGGUGAAAGAUUUAUCGCUGCAAGAUAAGCCCAUGCAAGAUUAGCUUGUUGGUAAGGUAAUGGCUUACCAAGGCUACGAUCUUUAGCUGGUUUGAGAGGAUGAUCAGCCACACUGGAACUUAGACACGGUCCAGACUCCUACGGGAGGCAGCAGCUAAGAAUAUUCCGCAAUGGGGGAAACCCUGACGGAGCAAUCUCUCAUGGAUGAUGAAUGUCUUCGGAUUGUAAAAUCCUUUCGGCAAGGAAGAAUGUGUAGAGUAGGAAAUGGCUUUGCAUUGACGGUACUUGCAGAAGAAGUCCCGGCUAACUACGUGCCAGCCGCCGCCGUAAAAC